rnacentral:sRNA from 1 species
UAGCGAAGAGUGGGGGUUCUUGGGAGAAGCUGGGGCCUGAGCAUUGUCUCGGACUUGAGAAGGGCAAGCUGAGUAUGGGAAACUGGGAACUGGUAGCGUGAAGACUGCCGUAGUGUGACAAGGCGGGGUGAUUUAGUACCAGAGGCUGAGGAUUGAGAAGGAGCUGCUAAUGGUGACUACGAGGUCCCAGCCUUGAUGCUGCGGAUGGAGAGUGGGGGACACGCCUAAAAACUGCAGCGCGUUGAGCUGACCAGAGACCACCGCAGAUCCGGGCACACCCACAACGGCGCGUGCGCAGACCCGGUGCAUCUACUCUGCCUUCAAACCUGAAUUUUCUAGGCAUUAGAGGAAGAAACCGAUCCCUUUGUUACUAUCUGUGCGCGUGUGUGAGAUAAAUCUGUGCGCUUCUGAAGGAGAGAGCAAAAGGUGUGUCAGAACCUGUUCCCUGCUCUUCCAGGUUGAAGGUCGCCGCUUUCCUACGCCGGGCUAGUGGUUUAGGAGGUGAUGUGACCCCUUUUAUUCUCUAAGGAGAGAGGCCCAGUGACUCAGGGUCACACUAUAGGGUAGAGCUCGCAGCUGUUGAGCGAGGGAGGGCUUGCUAGAACCAUCCGCAAGCUGUCAUCGCCUUUCUUUUCCGCAAGGAGAGUGGGGGUAGGACCGGCUUUAAACUGAAUUCUAAUGUACCAAGAAAAGCAGCCCAGAACAAAAGCCUUGCCUCCUGUGAUUGCCAGGGUGUCCAGACUGGAACUCUAUGGCCAGAGUUCACCAGAUACCGAUGUUCAGUUCGGGGUGGGUUAAGAAGAGAGAGGCAAGAACAGUGAAGGUGUGUCCACAUGUCCAGUAUCAGGAUUCCAAGAACCCAGGCCCUGAUUUGGGAUUUUCUCACCCAAGUCUUCCUACAGAUGUUGAAGCGUGAAGAGCAAAUACUUCCCAAGGUCACACAGCGAGUUAAUGACAGGGUUCGGACUGUCUCCGAACUUUCAGGGAAGGUGACUACAUUCACAGCCAAAAGAGCUAUUUGAAGGGUGGCUGCUGCGGUGCUCCGUUGACCUGGAAGUAACACCGAGAGGGCGUCACCAGCACUUCGAUUAUAGAUGCCGCUGUGCAGCAGUCCUGCUUGGCUGCGCCAGCCAAGGAGCAAUCCCGGAGCCCCGGGGGCUCAACUCUAAACCCGGUAAUCUGAGCCUGCCUCUCUCACCUAGUGGGUUCCUUGUUCAGCUUCUGUUUCAGAACCAGAUCUUUGCAAGGCAGCUGAUUAAAAACUCGUGUUUAUGAUUCUA